rnacentral:rRNA from 1 species
UACGUAUGGGGCAAGCGUUAUCCGGAUUUACUGGGUGUAAAGGGAGCGUAGGCGGCAUGGCAAGUCAGAAGUGAAAGCCUGGGGCUCAACCCUGGAAUUGCUUUUGAAACUGUCAAGCUAGAGUGUCGGAGGGGUAAGUGGAAUUCCUAGUGUAGCGGUGAAAUGCGUAGAUAUUAGGAGGAACACCAGUGGCGAAGGCGGCUUACUGGACGACUACUGACGCUGAGGCUCGAAAGCGUGGGGAGCAAAC